rnacentral:hammerhead_ribozyme from 1 species
GUACUGCUGAUGGGUCACAAAAUAGGACGAAACGGCCGUCCAGUGC